AUGCCUGGAGGGAGGACCGCACACUCGAGGUUCAAGAUUCCACUAAAAAUAGAUGAUGGAGCUAUUUGUAGCUUCACAAAACAGAGUGGGACAGCAAAGCUACGCCAAGCAGCAUCACCAAUAAUCUGGGAUGAAGCAUCUAUGACAAAGAGACAGACGGUGGAGGCGCUAGACAAAAGCAUGCGGGACAUAAUGGAUAGACCAGAUCUUCCAUUUGUUGGAAAAACGAUCGUAUUUGGGGGAGAUUUCAGACAAGUGCUACCUGUUGUCCGAAAGGGAACAAGAACCCAGAUAGUAGAUGCAUCACUACGCAGGUCAGAGCUCUAG
rnacentral:rRNA from 1 species